GUGUUCCCAAAGGGCAGCGGGAAGCCAGACUGGGAUGCUUGGGGCACUUCCCUCUGGGCUGACCCACACGGACCCGGGGCUCCCUCCAACUGCAGCUUCUGGGAGCUGUGAUGGGUGAACAGAGGAGCAAGGGGAGGGAGAGAAGGGAUGGGGCUUUCCACACUCCGGAAUGAAUGCUGGGCCCUCUCCCUGCCUGGAUGACCUCGGCCAGUUUCCACCUCAAAAACAGAAGGAAAAGAGACUGGUCCCAGGGGAGUAACCUGACACCUCUUGCCAGCAGUGGAAUAGAGUUGGAUUGUUUUUUUAGACUCCAAGUUCGGAGCCCUGGUAACAAAGCCUGACCUCUCCUGCAAUGGAGAAACCUCUUUGGGGAGUAAAUCCUGCCUUCAGUUUUGUCA